rnacentral:lncRNA from 1 species
CUUUUUUUUUUUGCCUGUUUCUAUGGUUUAUAUUACCGUCAUGCCUAUAUUCUUGUGGGAAUUUCAAAUAAGAAUCAAGAUAUAACUGGCAAAUAUUCUGUAAUGCAGUCUGCAUUUCCAUAAUUUAGUUGUUUUUUAAAAGAGACGAUUUAAAGAGGUUUAUGGACUUAAGGAUAUAUGAAGAGUAUUUUGAUUGGCUUUUUUUUAGUACUUCAACUGCUUAAGGUUCAGUUUGUGUAAAAUGGAUGUAAUAAAAUAAAUUUAUGUACAUAUAUGUGCUUGUGUAUAUGUAAAUACAUUUGGAAUGAAAAACUUCAUAAAUCUCAGUCAAAUUUACUGAUUAAGUUCACUGUAUUCACAUUUGGCCACAUUAAGAUAUUUCACCAAAGAGUUCAAAGGUAAAAGGCUAGCAUUUUAUUUCUUCUUUAGAUUCUAGCCUGCCAAAAAGCUUAAAUAUUUACAAAGCAAGUAUUCAGGUUCCUGUGUUUCCCCAACCCUCAACACACACACCCCUCCCAUACAUGGAGCUAGUUUAACUGAAGCCUUUUAUUGCACACCACCAGUGCCAAAGAAAUCUUUUCUCCCUUUUUUAAAGCUGUAAAGAUACCAAUGCUCUUCAAUGAUUUAACUAACAGUAAAACUAGAAAUUCAACUUACUUUAAUUUCCAAUUCAUUUUCCACCUAUCUCCCCACCCCCAAUAGAAUUUCACCUUCAUAUUAUCAAUGCACUUACUUUUAGGGAUUAACAUUCUCUAGUUUAAUGUAAUAUUUGAAAUCCGAGAAGUCCGUGUAUGUGCUUUGCUGUUUAUAGCUCCAGUUUAAUUACUGUGUGUUAAACUGCCUAGACAGAGAAAUGAAUUUAUGAAUAUCUUUCAAGACAGCCAUAGUUUGGAGCGGCACAUGAGAGAAAUGGGAUGGUGGGAGACACUGUAUUAAAUGAUCUUUAUCCCAGUAUUCUUGAAAAUUCGUGCUUUAUGUAGGAAAAUGUUAAAUAUGAGAACAUUAAGAUAAAGGCUUGUUAUAGUCCUGAAGUGUGGGAUAUGUAAAAUACGGAGAUUUUCAGAUGUACAGUUAUAACACAUGCUAAGCAGCAUAGAUUAUUAAGCAAGAUUCAUUCCUUUAUUGGAGAGGGAGGGGAGUAAUUUACAGACAAGAGCUAAGCAAUUCUGUUUAACACAACUCUGUCUAGUUGAUUGUAAGGCAUGUGUAGCAUUUUUCCAAAGCCCGUCAUCAGUAGUAAAGCAAUUUACAGCUCAGGAUAUUUUUUAGAGGAUACUCAUUUUAUUAAGAGUUAAUAAGAUAGGUUGUGCAGAAAGAUAUACAUGUAUUUGCAAUUCAUAUUGUUGCUGUGUUCCUAUUGUGUUCUGAGCUUCCAUCAUGGCUGAGAAGUGGGAAGCUAGCAUGUAGUACAGGAGGGUAAGAAAGAAAGCCCCCAAUAAACACAGCAUUUUCUAAUCAUCCCUAAUUAUAACCACAUCCCUUUUUUUCUUCCUGAGGUGGGUGGGGGAAGUAAUAGAAAGACAAUAUUGAGUACAGACCAUAUCUGUGCUAUUAAAUAACAUUAAUAAUUCUUCUGGUCCAGGGGAUAAUAUUUUCAUUCUGGACUUUCAAGCACCUCAGUCUACCCAUUCAAAGUGAUGACAGAAAAAUGAAUCUGAAUGUGUAGGCAUUAAACAUUUAAAUUCUCUACUCCCUGGUCAUUAUACCGACUGUCAUAUUUUACACCUCCCCCUCCCCCACUAUGCUUUUGCUGAUUUGACUUCAUUUACAUUGGCUCAUUAUGCAUCGGUCUUUGUUCUACUGAACAGAAUACAGUACAGUGACAAAGCAAAACUUACACGUCGGCUGGAAUAUUUUUCUGAUUCAAAAAUUAUGUUUCACUACUUAAAUUUACAUUUAACUUCCCAACAUUGUUUAAAUUGGAAGCAAGUCUUUUCUUAUACAAUAACUAUAAUCUAUAUGCAAUUAUUUUAAAAGUGGUUAAAAUUACCUGAAAAUGUCAUUAGGAAAUGACAUUUAAGACCUUUUAUAACAAAUAUUCUACUGCUACCUAGGCAAUAUCAUCAUAUUAGAAGUAUUAAGUUGUUCUUUCUAAGCCUCUGUCUGAAUUUCCACAUAGGCCCAAGGAACAAGCUUUUAUCUAUUUUUAUGAAAUUCAUUGUUUAGAGCUGUCCCUUAUGGGUCUUAUUUUAAUGUAUCGAACAACAAAGGUAAUGUCAAUCCUUUAAAAAAAAAAAAGAUUCCUACUUUGCAUUUCUUGCAAUUAAAAGGUUUUCUGAUUUACAAACCAAAUUUCAUCAAAUUAAAAGGAAGUCCUAGCUGACCGAUCACAUGGAAAAAUAUGAAAGUUACAUUGAGCUUUAAAUGUCUAUCCCCAUGGCAGUGCAUACUAUCUUUUCAUUUGUUACAACCAAUGGAAACAUGGGAUUAAUCUAAUACAGCCUAAUUAAACACCCAUUCACACAUGAGGGUUUUUAAUGGUACUACUGGCACAAACACUACUUUGUAUCACAGUUGUAUUUGCAUUUAUUUGAAGUUAGAUAAUAGAUAUUUUUGAAUACAAAGAAAAUGAGAAAAAAUAUUGGGGAGCCUGUUUUUGAAAGUAGAAGCAAUUUCUUGUUUCCUGCAAAGAUAAUUGCCAAAUUUACAAUUUAGGUUUCAUUCCACAUAUUCUGACUAAGACACAUUUUGCAUUUCUGUUAUUUAUCAAAAUGUAUAAUCAUGGCUACAGAGGCUACAAGUCUGGGGCACCAUAUUGGAAGAAAAAAACAUCAUUGUGCCUUCUUGGCUUUGUUAAUGACUCACUGUGUGACCUCUGGCUUCUCCUCUAACCUGAUUGUACCUUGAUUUUUUCAUCUAUGAAAAGGGAAUAUUUGUCCCUUACCUACUCUUAUUGGGCUAUUGCAAAGCUUAAUUGGCAUAAUAUAUUGCUCUUAGGAAGAAAGUAUCUUAUAAUUACAAGAUUUUAUUUUUUUCAUCGAUUAAUUUUUACUGUACUGUGGGAAAACACACUGCUGUAUACUUGUCUAUAUUCAGUCUCUUUUACUUAAGUUUGACACUUUUAGUUCUACAGUUAAUGAGAAUAAAAUAUAAACGUUUAACUGGAUUUCUUGAAGGUGGGAGCAAUUGCCUACAUCUUGGAGGUUUAUAUUAAAUAACCUUGCUAUCGUCUGCAAGAUACCACUAUUAGCAUAACUUGUUUUAGAAAAUGGCUUUUACAAUAGAAAUAGUCAAGAGGGUGGCCUUCAGAAUGAGUUUCAACCUGUAACAGAACUAGAAAUUCGGCAAAGAUUUUUUUAGUCCAGUGGCACCUCAAGGGAAGCACAGUAAAUAAAAGUUUUAAGAUAAAGUUUCUUUAAAAUUAUCUUUUCUUUUGAGUACCAGAAAUUUUAGAUUUUGGACACUAUGGAAUGCUGAUGCAGAAAUCAACAAGAUGAUUAUCAUUUGAGUAUUUAUUAGGAUUUAUCUAGAAGCCCUCCUAAACUCAACACCAUUUUCAAAAUACAUGCCAGAUCAAUUAACUCUAUUUCCAUUUCUAGGGUUAAAAUAAUGUUAUUUAAUUUCUUCACGCUUCAACUGAAUCAUCUGUUAAAUGACAUGGUUGAGCUGGAUUAUCAAUAAGAACCUUUCCAGAUCCAAAAUUAAUCUGGCCAGUAUUUGAAUAUGUCAUUCUUGGAAUUUUAGGCACAUAAGUGUCAUGCACUAUAUACAGCAUAUCUAAAUUAUAUAUUAUCAGAUAGUUGUCCAUUUAUAUGAUGAAUGUUUAUUAAACACUAAAUACAUGUUAGGCAUUUGUUAAACUCUAGAAACCUAGAAAAGGGCCAGGUUUAGAGGCAAAGAUAAAGAUUAACCUUACUAAACUCUGACUAAGAUCAGUCUGUGAGCAUCAAAUCAUUUGACACAAGAGUUAAAUGUGUUUUAAAAAAUUAGUGAGUAUGGCAGACAGUAUUACUAUUCACAAAUAGCCUGUGUCUAUCCCUAUAUGAGGGUUAUACCUCCCUAACUUCAUGAAGUUGGUCUAGGAUAUGUGAAUUGCUUUACCUAAUAGCAUGUGAGCAGAAGUACUAGGUGUCAUUUGCAGGGGAGGCUUUAAGAAUCAGUGUGUAUUCUGCCAUGCUUUCUUUUUCCUUUGCCACAGUUAUCAGCAAUGUUCUAAAGAGUUUCUUCCACUAAAAUGGAUCCCAGAGCGAGGGUUACAAUGACAGAGCAAAACAUCCAACUGAUCCACAAUGGAUGCCAACAUGAGAGACAAGAAAAAAAAAACACUUUAUGAUUAAGCCACUACUGUUUGAGGAUUGUAUAUUAUCAUAAUAUAAAUUAGCCCAGGGGUUCUCAGAGUAUGGAUUGGAGAUCACUAAGAUUCCUGAAACUCUUUCAAGGAAUCCAUGAGUCCGAAUAUUUUCAUAAUAAUAUGAAGAUAUUAUUUUUCCUUUUGCUCUCAUUCCCUCACAAGUGCAAAGUAUAGAGUUCCUGUUGUGGCUCAGUGGUUAACCAACCCGACUAGCAUCCAUGAGGAUGUGGAUUCAAUCCCUAGCCUUGCUCAGUAGGUUAAGGAUCCAGCGUUGCUGUGAGCUGUGGUGUAGGCAGGCAGCUGCAGCUCCGAUUCAACCCCUAGCCUGGGAACCUCCAUGUGCUGCAGGUCCAGCCCUAAAAAGACAAAAAGGCAAAACAAACAAACAAACAAAACAAGUGCAAUUUAAAGGGCACGUUCCUUCUGAAUUUUUUUUUUGUUUUGGAAAAUUUAGUAAUUUUACAGAAAAAAAAUAUUGUUUAUAUUGACAAGUAACAGAUUUGUUGUUGAUUUUUUUAAUUAUAAAUUUUUCUGAUUUUUUAUUUCCAAUAUAAAAAAAAAAAAUCAAUGGAUGGAACCCACUUUGGCCAAUGCUCUUUUGGAGUCCUCACUAUUUUUAAAGAGACCAGAGAACAAAAACUGGAGAUGGAUCCUACCCUGACUAAUGUAGCAGGUUCCACCAGGUAUAGCUUAUUAGAACUAAUUAAGCCCUGUCAUGUGGAGCUCUGUGGAUAGACAAAGUAUAACUUUCAAAGCGUGGUUAGAGUCAAUCACAUUAUUUAGUUAUUUAACAGAAUCAAAUAGAAUUUUCUCAUGUUGUGUAACAAAAGAACAGUUGCUGCCUAAUGCACUUACUAUAAUAAUUAGUCUAGACAUAAUAAACUAUCUCUUUGGUAGGACAUGACAGAGUAGAUUUUCUUCUUUAUUUUGUAGAAAGGAGUAAAUGUAAUCUCUUGAAGUAAGUAUGAAAAUAUAUAAGCUCAACUAUAAAUCACCCCACAGAUGGACAAUUUGUCCAAUUUAUAGGGCAAGGGUAACAGGAAAAAGAAUAGAAGAGAGAUGAAUGGUGGGAUGUGAAAGUUUCAAAUCAUGCUCUUGACAACCAUUCAGACACAUGGUGACUGACGGCUGCAGACCAUACUCAAGCAGAAAACAAUCUGAAUUAAAAGUAUUUGGAUCCAUCAUCUCUCCUUCAGGCCAGCAGAGUUUCUAUAUCAAUUUGCUCUCACUGGCAUGUUGAUCCAUAACUAUAUUUUCCCUUGCUUCAAAUGUUCCUUCAACUGGAUAGUGAGCUCCUAAACAGUAGGAAUGACAUCUUCUAUGGAAUAUGCCUCCAUCCUCAUGCAGGGGCUCUGCCCAGUGUUCCAUAUGAAACUGGGACUCCAUACCCACCAGCAGAUUAAAUAGAGCAAGAGAAGGUCUCUGAUUUCAUAGCUAUGAGCAGGCAAUGAAAUGAAUAAGUAACUUAGGGUGGGUGGGGGGUGGAUAAGAUUGGCAACUACUUUCUAUUAAUUUAAAUACAUCUAUCAAUAUAAAAGCAAUAUAGUUUGAGGUAUUAUAGGGUUAUUUAACAUAAGAAUUAAAAGAUCAAAUCUAACAACCAUGACACAUUGAAGAAAUAUUCCUCCUGUCAGCAUAACUCCUGGAUGGGCUGUGCUCUGUUCCAACAGCAGUACAAGGACAUGUUCAUUUCAAUAUGUUCUCCUUCCUUGUAUCACUGAGUUGUAGAAAUUCCUAAGUAGGUUUAUCAUCUUUAAAUAUAAAAUAUUUCUUCUAUAAUUAUCAAUUCACUGGAUUUUUCCUACCAGUUCAGUUAAGCGAUC